GUUGGAAUCUCACAUUUUAGUUUCCCAGUUACUGACUGUGCAUUCCCACAUUUACAAUUAUUGAAGUACGUUCAAGAAUGUAGAGUGUGAGCUUUAUAUAGUCUUGAGCAGUGCCCUGCUUUUAAGAGUGAAUUAUUUUUUAAAUGGAAAUGAGACUCAUCUCUCCUGGAUCUGAAGCUUGCCGUCAACUACCAGGACCUGAGACUCCCCCCGGCGCUUCCCAUUUUCCUCAGGAGGAAGCCCUGUUGUUUCAGUGGGUGUGUGGUGAAGGGCAAGUUCUCCUAACGUGAACGUCAUUAAUGAAAGUUCUGCCAUUUUUCUUCUUCUUUGUGAACAGCCCUUACCUGGCCCAAUAUAAUCUUUUUGCUGCUUUACGGAGACUGCACACGUCCUUUGA
rnacentral:lncRNA from 1 species